UGGGGAAUAUUGCACAAUGGGCGCAAGCCUGAUGCAGCCAUGCCGCGUGUAUGAAGAAGGCCUUCGGGUUGUAAAGUACUUUCAGCGGGGAGGAAGGGAGUGCAGUUAAUACCUUUGCUCUUUGACGUUACCCGCAGAAGAAGCACCGGCUAACUCCGUGCCAGCAGCCGCGGUAAUACGGAGGGUGCCAGCGUUAAUCGGAAUUACUGGGCGUAAAGCGCACGCAGGCGGUUUGUUAAGUCAGAUGUGAAAUCCCCGGGCUCAACCUGGGAGCUGCAUCUGAAACUGGCAAGCUUGAGUCUCGCAGAGGGGGGUAGAAUUCCAGGUGUAGCGGUGAAAUGCGUAGAGAUCUGGAGGAAUACCGGUGGCGAAGGCGGCCCCCUGGACGAAGACUGACGCUCAGGUACGAAAGCGUGGGGAGCAAACAGG
rnacentral:rRNA from 1 species